CCCGUCUGAUCUCGCAGCCAAGCAGAGGCAGUAUGUAGGGCACCCUGAUGACUAUCUGCUGCGCUCCCGGUGCUGCCCGCUCUGCCACAUACCCACACACCCCGAGGUUUGGUGCCACGAUGCAUCCCAACGUCAGGAAGGUGGGACCCCACAGCAGCCAAAACACAGCUGGGAAAUCCCUGCCCUUCGUGUUCUCCUCGGCCGGACCCCAGCAGCUCAGUGCCGUGCUGCUCCAUCACAACGUCAGCUCUCUGGGAGGCACCGGGGACAACGAGGUCACCCCAAAGGCACAGCUCCCUCCCUGCCUGCCCGGCCCAGCUCUGCUCACCACAGUUUCGUUUACUCAGAUCCACCUCCAAUCUGAGUCACAGCUCAGCCUGAAUCAGCGCUCAGCACAAACACUUGGGUGACCCGAAGCCACAAGCAACCAAAAGCAUCCAAUGCUCCGGGCGCUGAGCAGCCAGAAGUAACCAGAGAUGUCCCCAUCUCAGCUCCCAGGACCAGCAGUUUGCAAAGUCACUGUCUGCUGGGUUCUUUCUUUCUUUUCAACAUCUUCUACAUUUCCCAUUUUGACAGAUGUGACACCAUAACCAGCAGAAUUCCAGAGGGUUGCAUGCAGCCGUUGCACUGAGAGCUCGCUGUGCACAGCCCUUCACUUCUAGCCCAGGGCCAAACCUCUCUGCUUACUGCAGCAUCACCCCUACGCCUACCCCAGGGCUGUGCGGGAUCAGAGUCUGUGUGAGGAGCAGCGCCCACUGCUCGAAAGAAGAAGAAUGGGGAAGAUGUCAGUUGAACAAAGCACUGAAAACAGGCAAUGAAAGCAACGCAUACACAAUGUGCUCGUACAGCUGCUACAAGGCAGCACGUGCUUUUAUUGCCGGCCGCCUUAUCUGCAGCAUUAGCAGUCAGGGCAGAUGGAUGCCUGCUGCUAAUGGGCUCUAACACUCCAUCCCUUCAAGACUAAUGGACAGCUUUCAGAAAGCACUUCGCUGCCACCUCCCCUGGCACAGAAUGGGACCGUGGGGUUACAUCCAAGGUGCAGCCCAUCACCUCUGCACAGCAGAGAAGCACUGGGCUCUCCCUGGAGUUGCAGUGUGUAACUCUCACCCCUCCUGCAGUUGCCAUUGCCUUCACCUGCCUGGAAGCUUCAGAAGAACCUCCUUUUUGUUUGUGGGACUCAACCAGCUCUGCAGCUGGAUUCAUUUGCAAGCAGCACUUUAGGAGAUGCAGUCAGCAAUGAGUACAAAAAUAGCACUUAUUUACUCCGUGUGCUUUGCUGACAAACAACUUCUGAAGUCCCCUGGAGAAGAUUCAGCCACAGAACAAUUCCAACACGGAUAAAUCGUCAGCUGAACUCCAACUGCAGCUGAUAGAAUAAAAAAAAAACCCCAGCAGGAUUUCU